UGAGGAAUAUUGGGUCAAUGGGCGCAGGCCUGAACCAGCCAAGUCGCGUGAGGGAAGACGGUCCUACGGAUUGUAAACCUCUUUUGUCGGGGAGUAACGUGCGGGACGGGUCCCGUAUUGAGAGUACCCGAAGAAAAAGCAUCGGCUAACUCCGUGCCAGCAGCCGCGGUAAUACGGAGGAUGCGAGCGUUAUCCGGAUUUAUUGGGUUUAAAGGGUGCGCAGGCGGCGCGCCAAGUCAGCGGUCAAAGUUCCGGGCUCAACCCGGUGUCGCCGUUGAAACUGGCGUGCUCGAGUGCGUGCGAGGAAGGCGGAAU
rnacentral:rRNA from 1 species